AUUGAACGCUGGCGGCAUGCUUUACACAUGCAAGUCGAACGGUAACAGGGAGCUUGCUCCGCUGACGAGUGGCGAACGGGUGAGUAAUGCGUCGGAACGUGCCGAGUAGUGGGGGAUAACGCAGCGAAAGUUGUGCUAAUACCGCAUACGUACUGAGGUAGAAAGUGGGGGACCUUCGGGCCUCACGCUAUUCGAGCGGCCGACGUCUGAUUAGCUAGUAGGGGAGGUAAAGGCUCACCUAGGCGACGAUCAGUAGCGGGUCUGAGAGGAUGAUCCGCCACACUGGGACUGGGAAACGGCCCAGACUCCUACGGGAGGCAGCAGUGGGGAAUUUUGGACAAUGGGCGAAAGCCUGAUCCAGCCAUGCCGCGUGUCUGAAGAAGGCCUUCGGGUUGUAAAGGACUUUUGUCGGGGAGGAAAUCCCCAGCGCUAAUACCGCUGGGGGAUGACAGUACCUGAGGAAUAAGCACCGGCUAACUACGUGCCAGCCGCCGCAGUAAUAC
rnacentral:rRNA from 1 species